rnacentral:rRNA from 1 species
CGCUGGCGGCAGGCUUAACACAUGCAAGUCGAGCGGAUGACAGGAGCUUGCUCCUGAAUUCAGCGGCGGACGGGUGAGUAAUGUCUAGGAAUCUGCCUGGUAGUGGGGGACAACGUUUCGAAAGGAACGCUAAUACCGCAUACGUCCUACGGGAGAAAGCAGGGGACCUUCGGGCCUUGCGCUAUCAGAUGAGCCUAGGUCGGAUUAGCUAGUUGGUGGGGUAAUGGCUCACCAAGGCGACGAUCCGUAACUGGUCUGAGAGGAUGAUCAGUCACACUGGAACUGAGACACGGUCCAGACUCCUACGGGAGGCAGCAGUGGGGAAUAUUGGACAAUGGGCGAAAGCCUGAUCCAGCCAUGCCGCGUGUGUGAAGAAGGUCUUCGGAUUGUAAAGCACUUUAAGUUGGGAGGAAGGGCAGUAAAUUAAUACUUUGCUGUUUUGACGUUACCGACAGAAUAAGCACCGGCU